UACACACCGCCCGUCACACCACGAAAGUUGGGUGCAACCAAAAUCGGCAACUCAACCCGCAAGGGAGAUAGCCGCCAAGGUUGUGACCAAUGAUUGGGGUG
rnacentral:rRNA from 1 species